GACACUUUGCCAGAGUGGUUAAUGGGUCAGCCUGCUAUCCGUGGAUUUGUGCUAGCAUGACUAAGCCCCAUCUCCAUCAGAGAAGCUGAUGGGUUCGCCCGCGCAGGUUCGAAUCCUGCAGGUGUCG